GCGUCGGUGAUGCAGCGAUUAGCACACGCUUCCGGAAAGAGUGAGAUGUGGGUUCGAAUCCCGGCUGACGCA